CUUUUAAUCGAGAUUUUUGCCGUUCGGGUACAAUUGAGACAGGUGGUGCAUGGUUGUCGUCAGCUCGUGUCGUGAGAUGUUGGGUUAAGUCCCGCAACGAGCGCAACCCUUGUGUUUUAGUUGCAAACAGGUCAAGCUGUGCACUCUAGACAGACUGCCGUGGACAACACGGAGGAAGGUGGGGAUGACGUCAAAUCAUCAUGCCCCUUAUGAUCUGGGCUACACACGUGCUACAAUGGCCGGUACAACGGGCAGCGAAGGAGCGAUCCGGAGCGAAUCCUAAAAAGCCGGUCCCAGUUCGGAUUGCAGGCUGAAACUCGCCUACAUGAAGUUGGAGUUGCUAGUAAUCGCGAAUCAGAAUGUCGCGGUGAAUGCGUUCCCGGGUCUU
rnacentral:rRNA from 1 species